AUGGAGAGUUUGAUCCUGGCUCAGGAUGAACGCUGGCGGCGUGCUUAACACAUGCAAGUCGUACGUGAUCUCCGAGCAAUCGGAGUGAAAGUGGCGAACGGGUGAGUAACGCGUAGAUAACUUGCCUAAAAGUUUGGGAUAGCUUCGGGAAACUGAAAUUAAUACCAAAUGUGGCAAUAAGUUUUUUCUUCUUGUUGUUAAAGGGGGCUUCGGCUCUCGCUUUUAGAUAGGUCUGCGUACUAUUAGCUUGUUGGUGAGGUAAUGGCUCACCAAGGCGACGAUAGUUAGCUGGUCUGAGAGGAUGAUCAGCCACACUGGGACUGAGAUACGGCCCAGACUCCUACGGGAGGCAGCAGUGGGGAAUUUUGCGCAAUGGGCGAAAGCCUGACGCAGCAACGCCGCGUGACCGAAGAAGCAUUUAGGUGUGUAAAGGUCUGUCGUGGGGGAGGAAAAAGGCAGAUGUGAAUAAUAUCUGCUGUUGACAGUACCCCAUAAGAAAGCUCCGGCUAACUCCGUGCCAGCAGCCGCGGUAAUACGGGGGGAGCAAGCGUUAUCCGGAAUCACUGGGCGUAAAGGGCGCGUAGGCGGAUUUUUAAGUCAAAUCUGAAAGUUAACAGCUCAACUGUUAAAGUGGGUUUGAAACUGAUUAUCUUGAGUGCGAGAGAGGAAAGCGGAAUUCCUGGUGUAGCGGUGAAAUGCGUAGAUAUCAGGAGGAACACCGGUGGCGAAGGCGGCUUUCUGGCUCGUAACUGACGCUGAGGCGCGAAAGCGUGGGUAGCAAACAGGAUUAGAUACCCUGGUAGUCCACGCCCUAAACGUUGUAUACUUG
rnacentral:rRNA from 1 species